CCAUUUCCAUUUAUAUAUUAAAAAAAAGAAAAAAAAAACUUUGGAAUAACCAAAGAGCAAUGAAAAGAAAAGAGGACGAUUACCAUAUCCUCUGUUUUCAUUUUGUUAUUUGUCUUUUCAUAGAUCUCUGGUUUGUACCUAAAUGUUGCAUUUUCUUUUCAUCUUUUUUUUUAAUAGCUUUUGUUAUAAGUUUCUGAUCUAUCUGAAUUGUGGAUUUUUAGAAAGAUCUGAUUGAAUCCAAAACUUCACUUUGUUGUUUAAUUAGUAUUUUGCAAGUUGGGGUCUACCUGAUUUUCUUAAAGGUUUAUUGAUUAGUGAUUACUAUUUUUAUUCACAUCUGGAUCUGUAUGCUUAGUUUUCAUGAUGGCUCUUCAUUUCAAUUUGUUUGGACUAUCAUGAUUCAAAGAUUAAAGAAUAUUUUUGUCUUUGAAUAA
rnacentral:lncRNA from 1 species